rnacentral:pre_miRNA from 1 species
CCAAGAAACAAAGACAACUGCUAAGUGAUUUAGGUAGUUUUAUGUUGUUGGGC